UAAAUGUACCUUUCUUGGCUGAUCCCUUUCGCUGUAUGGCGUGCUCGUUUGGGUUGGGCGUCGGCUAAGAGUGCUCGGAGCGUAGAUUAACUCCAGUCGCCAAUCAGGUUAAAGCCCAUCUGGUACUGUCUGUUAAAAUGGGUUAAACCCAAUUGAUACUGAAAUUGUAAUUUCCAGCCUUAGAUGGAUCGGAGCUGCGAGGGGCUCGGAAGAAGCCACACACACUGUUUAUUUUAUAGUUUUGAUUAUUACUUUUAAAUGUUUUAUGUGGGUUGUAGUAAAGCCGUUGUAAUUUUCUGGAUUUCAAAUUUGAAAUUUUAUUUAUUGUUCUUAUAA